rnacentral:rRNA from 1 species
UACGUAGGGUGCGAGCGUUAAUCGGAAUUACUGGGCGUAAAGCGUGCGCAGGCGGUUCGGAAAGAAAAGAUGUGAAAUCCCAGAGCUUAACUUUGGAAACUGCAUUUUUUAACUCCCCGGGCUAGAGUGUGUCAGAGGGGGGUAGAAUUCCACGUGUAGCAGUGAAAUGCGUAGAGAUGUGGAGGAAUACCGAUGGCGAAGGCAGCCCCCUGGGACAACACUGACGCUCAGGCACGAAAGCGUGGGGAGCAAACAGG